rnacentral:misc_RNA from 1 species
AACCUUAUGGACCUGCGGGCGUAUACCUGCGGAGGGAUCAUUACCAGCAGCGGUCCGCGGCCUUCUGGGCCCGGUCCUCUCACCCUAUGCGUACCUUUUGGAGCGUUGCUUUGGCGGGCCUCCGCGCCCGCCAGAGGUCUCUGACUACUCUGCUAUUUUGGACUGUCUGAGUGUCUCACGAAUAACAUUAAAACUUUCAACAAUGGAUCU